UCUUUUAUCAGUCUGAAGGUUUCUGUUGUUUACUUCCAACAAGCUCAACAAUACUGAGGCCUGAGGCAGAUGUUAAAACAGGACCCAGUCCUGCGAUCAGAUCUGUGUGUGCAUACCCUUGGGACCAUGCAGAGACCCACCAACUGCAGGAUCAGAGCCUGGUAUUGCUCAGGAAAUCUUGGAGCUGCCCCUGCCACCAGACAUGAUAAAAUGAAGCACAGACAGGCCAACGUUGAGGGACUAAGAGCUGUCUCCAAAAGGGGAACUUUGCUAUCAAGGGAGCCUUUUUGGAAUCUGAAGAGAGCGGGGAUUGCAAUUACAGGAUGUGCAGAUGAGGAUGGCAUCUAUACACGUGCCCGACACCUGCUCUGAUGCAUUUCAAUUAGAAUAUGUCAGAGCAGAGUCUGCUGACCUGAUUAACAUGAUAUGCAUGAUUAAGCUUGUACAGUUCACUUUGGAAACAAAGUUAUGGUAGAUGCUUUUCUCAGUGGCAUUUUAGAUUCAUGAGUACAGUAACAUAGAUUUAUAGAUUCUAGGGUCGGAAGGGACCUCAAUAGAUCAUCGAGUCCGACCCCCUGCAUAGGCAGGAAAGCGUGCUGGGUCUAGAUGACCCCAGCUAGAUGCCUAUCUAACCUCCUCUUGAAGACCCCCACGGUAGGGAAGAGCACCAUCUCACUUGGGAGCCCAUUCCAGACCCUGGCCACUCGAACUGUGAAGAAGUUCUUCCUAAAGUCCAGUCUAAAUCUGCUCUCUGCUAGCUUGUGACCAUUAUUACUUGUAACCCCCGGGGGCACCUUGGUGAAUAAAAGCUCACCAAUUCCCUUCUGUGCCCCCGUGAUGAACUUAUAGGCAGCCACAAGGUCGCCUCUCAGCCUUCUCUUGUGGAGGCUGAAGAGGUCCAGGUGCCCCAGUGUCUCCUCAUAGGGCUUGGCCUGCAAGCCCUUAACCAUAUGCGUGGCCAUUCUCUGGACCCUCUCCAGGUUAUCCACAUCUCUCUUGAAGUGUGGCGCCCAAAACUGAACGCAGUAUUCCAACUGCGGUCUGACCAGUGCCCAAUAGAGGGGGAGUAUCACCUCCUUGGAUCUGUUCGUCAUGCAUCUGCUAAUGCACGAUAAAGUGCCAUUAGCUUUUCUGAUGGCUUCGUCACGCUGCCGACUCAUGUUCAUCUUGGAGUCCACUAGGACUCCAAGAUCCCUUUCCGCUUCCGUGCCACCAAGCAGGUCAUUUCCUAGGCAGUAGGCAUGCUGGACAUUUUUCCUCCCUAGGUGCAGCACUUUGCAUUUCUCCUUGUUGAACUGCAUUCUGGUGUUUUCUGCCCACUUGUCCAACCUGUCCAGGUCUGCUUGUAGUUGUUCCCUGCCCUCCAGCAUGUCUACUUCUCCCCACAUUUUUGUGUCAUCCGCAAACUUGGACAGAGUACACUUCACUCCCUCGUCCAAGUCGCUGAUGAAGACAUUGAAGAGUAUCGGUCCCAGGACCAAGCCCUGCGGGACCCCACUGCCCACACCCUCCCAGGUCGAUACCGACCCAUCCACUACAACUCUCUGGGUGCGACCCUCUAGCCAAUUCGCCACCCACUGGACUGUGUAGUCAUACAAGUCACAGCUUCUUAACUUGUUCACCAGUAUGGUGUGGGAUACCAUAUUGAAGGCCUUCCUGAAGUCUAAGUAUAUGACAUCAACCCCUACUCCUGCGUCCAGGCGUUUUGUAACCUGGUCAUAAAAAUAGACUAGAUUAGUUAGGCAUGAUCUACCUGCUACGAACCUGUGCUGGUUUCCCCUCAGCAUAAUUUUUCCUGCCGGGCUCUUGCAAAUGUGAGCCUUGAUAAUUAUUUCAAAGACUUUGCCAUACAUCCUUGCAUUACCAGAAUGGCAAUGUAUCUUUCAACUCCUCUCCUAUGGUUUCUUUUGCACUUUUAAAAAGAGGAGUGCUGCCAGUUUAAUUGAGGCCCCAAAUUCAGAUUUGUUGUGGAUUUAUUUUAAAGGACAGAAUUCUUAAAGACUAGAAUAAGUAGUAGUUUGUCCAUAAAACUGUAAAAAAUAUCAAGGAAAACAUUAUUUCACAUUCAGCCUAGUUUAGCAUAAGGACCCAAAUAAACUCAUAUUCUGCUACUUAACAACUUCAGGACAGGGAUUAAGACAUUUAUGAACUAUCUAAUGCAAUGCCUGUAAUUGUGAAGCUAUAGUUCUGAUUAGUCUCUUAGGUGUUAAUGUCAUAAAAAAUUAUUGAUAAUAACGAUGAUAAUAGUGUGCAAGAAUCAAGAUGAGAAACUAAACAGAAAUAACCAUAAAACUGACCAGACUAGUUUUAUAGUUUAAGGUAAAUGCAAUGAUAGUUUUUUGGUUAAUGAAUAAAAAGGAAAAAUGAAUUUUGAAAGAGAUUACAUUCUUUACUAAUAAAAGAUUAAUUGCCACAGAGGAUUGGAUUGUGAUACACCGAGUCUCUCUGGAUCAACUCUGGAUCAGCCAGCAAUUCCAUUUUACUGGGGCAAGUCAAGGAGUAACAUGCAAUUCUACCUGACUGAGAAUUACAAAACCAGGGCCUAUGUAACUUUACAGAUCAUAAUGCUCCUUUAACAUACACUGGACACAAAUCUGUUUUUAGUUCCAUAACUGAUUGCCAACUGAACUCAUUAAAGUUACACUGGAUUUACCCUA